rnacentral:rRNA from 1 species
ACCUACGGGAGGCAGCAGUGGGGAAUAUUGCACAAUGGGGGAAACCCUGAUGCAGCAACGCCGCGUGAGUGAAGAAGUAUUUCGAUAUGUAAAGCUCUAUCAGCAGGGAAGAAGAUGACGGUACCUGAUUAAGAAGCCCCGGCUAACUACGUGCCAGCAGCCGCGGUAAUACGUGGGGGGCAAGCGUUAUCCGGAUUUACUGGGUGUAAAGGGAGCGUAGACGGCAUGGCAAGUCUGAUGUGAAAACCCGGGGCUCAACCCCGGGACUGCAUUGGAAACUGUCAGGCUAGAGUGUCGGAGAGGCA